rnacentral:rRNA from 1 species
UUUACCAGCUCAGGAUGAACGCUGGCGGCGUGCUUAACACAUGCAAGUCGAACGGUGAAGGGAAGCUUGCUUCUUGGAUCAGUGGCGAACGGGUGAGUAACACGUGAGCAAUCUGCCCCUGACUCUGGGAUAAGCGCUGGAAACGGCGUCUAAUACUGGAUACGAGCUGCAGCCGCAUGGCUAGCAGUUGGAAAGAUUUUUCGGUCAGGGAUGAGCUCGCGGCCUAUCAGCUUGUUGGUGAGGUAAUGGCUCACCAAGGCGUCGACGGGUAGCCGGCCUGAGAGGGUGACCGGCCACACUGGGACUGAGACACGGCCCAGACUCCUACGGGAGGCAGCAGUGGGGAAUAUUGCACAAUGGGCGCAAGCCUGAUGCAGCAACGCCGCGUGAGGGACGACGGCCUUCGGGUUGUAAACCUCUUUUAGCAGGGAAGAAGCGAAAGUGACGGUACCUGCAGAAAAAGCACCGGCUAACUACGUGCCAGCAGCCGCGGUAAUACGUAGGGUGCAAGCGUUAUCCGGAAUUAUUGGGCGUAAAGAGCUCGUAGGCGGUUUGUCGCGUCUGCUGUGAAAUCCCGAGGCUCAACCUCGGGUCUGCAGUGGGUACGGGCAGACUAGAGUGCGGUAGGGGAGAUUGGAAUUCCUGGUGUAGCGGUGGAAUGCGCAGAUAUCAGGAGGAACACCGAUGGCGAAGGCAGAUCUCUGGGCCGUAACUGACGCUGAGGAGCGAAAGGGUGGGGAGCAAACAGGCUUAGAUACCCUGGUAGUCCACCCCGUAAACGUUGGGAACUAGUUGUGGGGUCCAUUCCACGGAUUCCGUGACGCAGCUAACGCAUUAAGUUCCCCGCCUGGGGAGUACGGCCGCAAGGCUAAAACUCAAAGGAAUUGACGGGGACCCGCACAAGCGGCGGAGCAUGCGGAUUAAUUCGAUGCAACGCGAAGAACCUUACCAAGGCUUGACAUAUACGAGAACGCUGCAGAAAUGUAGAACUCUUUGGACACUCGUAAACAGGUGGUGCAUGGUUGUCGUCAGCUCGUGUCGUGAGAUGUUGGGUUAAGUCCCGCAACGAGCGCAACCCUCGUUCUAUGUUGCCAGCACGUAAUGGUGGGAACUCAUGGGAUACUGCCGGGGUCAACUCGGAGGAAGGUGGGGAUGACGUCAAAUCAUCAUGCCCCUUAUGUCUUGGGCUUCACGCAUGCUACAAUGGCCGGUACAAAGGGCUGCAAUACCGUAAGGUGGAGCGAAUCCCAAAAAGCCGGUCCCAGUUCGGAUUGAGGUCUGCAACUCGACCUCAUGAAGUCGGAGUCGCUAGUAAUCGCAGAUCAGCAACGCUGCGGUGAAUACGUUCCCGGGUCUUGUACACACCGCCCGUCAAGUCAUGAAAGUCGGUAACACCUGAAGCCGGUGGCCUAACCCUUGUGGAGGGAGCCGUCGAAGGUGGGAUCGGUAAUUAGGACUAAGUCGUAACAAGGUAGCCGUACCGGAAGGUGCGGCUGGUCC